CUACGGGCGGCAGCAGUGAGGAAUAUUGCAAAAUGGGGGGAACCCUGAUGCAGCAACGCCGCGUGGAGGAUGACGCAUUUCGGUGUGUAAACUCCUUUUAUAUGUCAAGAAAAUGACGGUAGCAUAUGAAUAAGCACCGGCUAACUCCGUGCCAGCAGCCGCGGUAAUACGGAGGGUGCAAGCGUUACUCGGAAUCACUGGGCGUAAAGGAGCGUAGGCGGGGUGGAAAGUCAGGUGUGAAAUCCUACAGCUUAACUGUAGAACUGCACUUGAAACUUCUAAUCUAGAGUAUGGGAGGGGGAGAUGGAAUUAGUGGUGUAGGGGUAAAAUCCGUAGAUAUCACUAGGAAUACCUAAAGCGAAGGCGAUCUCCUGGAACAUUACUGACGCUAAGGCGUGAAAGCGUGGGGAGCAAACAGGAUUAGAUACCCCCGUAGUC
rnacentral:rRNA from 1 species